ensembl:lncRNA
GAACAUACGUUCAACGACUUGAUAAACCUGGCCUGUUAAAGUCAACUUACCGGGGGAUCCAUGACAAUGUUUCCAGAAUUUCCUGUCUGGGAUCAAUAAAGUUGUAUCUUAUCGUAUCAUAUCACAUAGAAGAUGACGCAAGCGAACUACUGCUGAACAGUUUACUAUCUAGAAUGUUCCAAUGUUAAGGAUUAUUUAAACAGCAAUACCAUUAGAUGGAAUGGAAGGCGUUUAGCUCUACAUAGAACUGACACUACUUUUUUUUUUCUUUUUGUAUUUUACCUUCAAAUUGCAUUCUGUUCUAUACAGAGCUAGCAGGAGUCAUGGUUCGGGGUAGAUCCAUGCAUAAGUUCUCUGUAAAGUACAAUAAGAAUUUAGAAAAACAAGGAAUUGGAGUAACUCCAAGUCAUGACAUUUAGCAUGUGAAUAUUAUUUUUUCUUUGGUUGUUAUCGUUUUUAUUUAACAAUGCAGGGAACUUGAAUGUUGCGAACACAGGCCUUCAGUAUCAUUUCUGUACAGAAUGUAUUUGCUCGUCCUCCUAGUGUUCUUGCUCAGGCAAUACAUUUUAAAGAUUAAAAAAGGGAAACAGUUUUCAUGUCAGCUUUCUCGUUUUUCUUCCAAAAAGUUUAAUUUGCAUAAUUAUUUACAACAGAUGAUUGAUAGCAGUACUCCAAAGAGACAAAAAUCAAACCACAAUUGAUAAAGCGGGAAAAUAACCAUAUAAAUAGUUCAAAACUUUUUAAAAUCUUGCAUUUAGAAAAAAGAAAGUUUACAAUUGUAGUAUUUUUUUUCAAUAAACAAAUGUAUAAAUCAAAUAUCAAGCUUAAUAUGUGAAUGAAUCAUAUUAACACAAACUGAAAGGAUGCUGCAAUACUAUACAGCAACGAAACACCAAAUAAUACAUUCAUUAUCACUAUCCCGCAUGCUAUCCGAAAACCUGAAAAAUUAUAAAAUAAUUCUUACAAAGAAAAUAACAAUAAAAUCAUGGCGAGGAGUGGAAAAUAGUUCCAUUUAAAGUAGGCAUAUAUUGUAUAUUUAUAUAUGUAUAUUUCUGUACAAAUAUUGAAUAUUUGGCAUUAUAUUCAUCCUCAUUAUUGAUAUAUCUAACAAUUCAAAGUAGUUUUAAGCUAAACAAUUACCUUGAUGCUAUCAGCCUUUAAUUAAUAGUUUUUUUCUUGUCACUUUUGCCCAUUCUAACCACAACACAGACAUUUCUUCACCAAAGGCGCCUGCGACCGCUGUCUCCCCUUAUAAAACAUCCAGCUAUACAAUUACAGGAGCAUCUCUGUGGGCUCACUGGCUUAGACCAAUGUGGGAGGGGCUUGUACAGGAAGCCGUGAUUGGCUGGACAUCGACGGUGUAAACCAAUGGCACAAAUACGGCCUACAUUCUGGUCAGUGUUUUCAUAUUGCAAAUUACUCGUAGGUCUUGGAAGUAUUCUCAAACCUCUGCGGGUGAAUAGCGGCCUGUGUUGUUUUGCUCUAUAAAGACAGUGAUCAGCAAGUUGGGCCAAAAAAAUAAAUAAAGAUACAUGAAAAAUAUGAGGCAAAAGAUCAAAUCUUUACUGCCUAUUACAAUUUAAAAUAUCUGUUUGUAGUGGUCUUCAGGAAAACAAGAAUCCUGUUUAAGCAGCACCACGAUGAGUCCAACAUUUCAAUAAAAGGCUUAUUGCUAGAGAAGCAGAUGUACUCUGGUAUAUAGUCUGGUAUUGUAUGAACCCAUUCGAUUCCAACAAUCACAAUCACACUCUGGGCAGUUGAAUGCAAGUAAUGAAGACUUUAAAGUGUGUGUGGGUGCAGUGAUACCGUUGGUCUAGUCGCCUCCGUGUCUACCAUGAGGAUGGCAUGCUUUAUGAGAGGAGAGAGCGAGCAGCAGAAAGAAGGACAUCUUUGCAGUGCAACUGCAUCAAAUAGAAAUAUUAUAAAUUCAGUUUCAUAGGAUUCUUAUGUGAACCAUACCUGUAUUUCAGAUACAAGGUGGGUUACAGAAAGAGAGAGAGAGAGAGAGAGAGAGAGAGAGAGAGAGAGAGAGAGAGAGAGAGAGAGAGAGAGAGAGAGAGAGAGAGAGAGAGAGAGAGAGAGAGAGAGAGAGAGAGAGAGAGAGGAAAUAAAUAUAUAGAAGUUGUAUUUUGAGGAUGUUACUGCUGCCAUUAGACAUUUGAAUGUGUGUGAGAAUAUAUAAUAUACUUUACAGUGUGAGCUGAUUGUCAAAAUAAAGGUCAGAGUGGCACAUUGAGGAGGAGCACAGGGCAAAGCAAUCAAAUCAACAGCAUGUAGGCCUACACUCUGAGCUUUCACUUUUAGCGUAUCAAAAGACGGCACAAAACCUUUUUUUCCUACCAAGAGCCAACAGCCACUUGAUUUAAGAGUAAACUGCUUGAAAAAGCACUCCGAGAAUCGGAGAUAAUCUCCAUUACACAAACUUCCCUUUCCCUUUGGAGAUCUCUCAUCAUAGUGGUUAUCCUCAGGAUGGCCUGAUCAGGGACAAUCAGCAUCAGGGUAACCACGACGACCUUAACAAAAGGUUCCAGUGGUGUGUGUGUGUCCCUCCGAAGCUACACCUCUAGUGUCAUUGGUGAUGGUCCUAAUAGCGGGCGUCUGUGUGGGGGGGGGGGGGCCUGCAGUUUUUGCUGUGACAAGGGGAUUAAGUGCUGCAUAGUACAUACGCGUGACCAAGUGCUCCUGUGGUGAGGUCAGAAACACACCCUACGUCCUGUUUCACGCUGCACUUGUGAGGUAAAUAUCUGUGUGUGUGCGCCUGCAUGCCUAAUAUUGUUGGACACGAUAUUGCACCACUUUGUUUUUCAGCAGGUCAAUGUUUUGUCCGCUAGUCUGUAGGAAAUGCGUUGGGCUGAACAAAUCGGUCGGGUGGUUUCAAUAUCUGAUCAACUGUUGAACUGCCUGAAAAGAGCCUGACUUCAGUUGCAUUCUGGGAUUUUUUGUUCAGUCACCCAGACACACAUACGCACAAACACAUCCACUCACACACAGACACACGUGCCUACGCACACACACGCACGCACACAUACACACAACAACGUCCUCAUGCAGAAUCUUGAGUGCCCCUGUACUCAUUCGGUAUACACAAAUAUAUAUAUAUCUUUUUUUCUUUCUUGUAAUUCAUACUCACGAUCACUACCGUUACAACUAUCAAAACAAAAUCCACCAUCUUUAACCAUAAAGCUUAAUAAAGUAUUAAUAUGUAGAUAUAGAGACUUUAUUUUGUAUUAAUAUAUACAGCUAUAUAUAUUUAUUUAUUUAUAGAUAUAGAUGUGAGCCAAAUAUAAAAAGGAAUACAUCCCAUGAUUCCUUGCAUGUUAUCCAAUAGGCUAAUACCCUUAAUGCCCAUCUUCCUAAACCUUUAUUGUGCUGAAGUCUUAUUACGCUAGAAUGUGGAGCAGCCAGUCAACUAGAAAUUUCAAUUUCUGGUCGAAGUAACGUGAUUCCAAGCCCUUUAGCGAUGCUAGUACGAGUUAUAACCUGUGUGGACAAAUCCCUCGGAGAUUUGUUUAUCUUUUGUUUUUGCGCCCCCCACAUUUCACGUUGCUCAGCCUACUUCGCUUCACCUGCAAGAGUGACAUCGUAAGGCACCUGAGGAUGUGUCAUAUACAUAGUUGCCAAACGCCAAACUCCCCUCGCGACUUGAAAGGAUAAGGAGGAAUUGAAAAAUGAAAGAUGAAAGAAACGUGGUAAUCCUGAAGACAGAGAAGUCUUCUGCGGAAUUCCACCAUCACUGCCGGAUCGGCCCAGACGCCUGCUUCACAAAAUGUACAAUAUACCGGUUACAGCUUCUGGGGAGACAACACAACUACAGUUACGUCCGGUGUUUUUGUAUCAUUUUCGACAUCGCUGCUGCACACAAUGGUUUCAGAAGCAGAUGAUAGCAUUGUUUCAUUUUAAGAAAGUGACUAGAGGUGUUGCUGAAUCUCUCUCCCUCUCUCUCUCUCUUACUCUUUCUGUCUCUAGCUAGUUACCCUCACGUAGUUAGGGGUAGGACUUUUAUCUAGACCAAUUUAAAUAAAUCUUCAUCAGGAAUCUAUAUAGACAAUGAAGGAAAAUAGACUUUGGUAAAUAAAAUAAGGUGAAGUCACACUGAAUCUGUAAAUCAACCCUGUUAGAUCUAAACCUGAUAAUAAAACUUUGAUUUAAAAAUAUCACUGCAUCAACUUGCAAUCUUUUAAGCCCGCUCAGCUUGCCUAUGAUCCAACAAGCUGGUACCAAGUGGCCAUUGGUCUCAUCACCAAACACUAGGGCCACAGCGAGCUCUAUAUAUCGCAAACAGUAAACCUAGUCAACCUUUACUGAGCUUCAGAGACUUAGUUAGAGCCCCGACUGAGAAACUCAAUCCACUGCAAACCCCCGCUCCGUCCCCUGCAACCUCGUACACUCACACCUCGCAGCCAAGCUGCUGUCAGCUUUCAAAUUAUGGGUUGGGUGGUAAACAGCGUGCUUUCAUUCACACACACACACACACACACGCACACGCACGCGCGCACGCACACACACACACACACACACCUUUGAAAACCCCUCCAUGUUUCUUCAUGGAGGCGCGACGGGGCUACCGGCCCCCCUGACCCGUCUGCCCAAUCAACGCUUCAUCAGCAGGUGAGAGGGUCACCCUGUCAGCCCGUAAGAAGCCAUGCAUGCACUAGCAAUGUUGAACCCAGAGAGGGAGUUGUCUAAUGCCAACCAAUCUAAUCUUAAAAUACUGUACACUACAUGGCCCCACGUCGGCGCCUCACAUCAGCCCCUCACAUCGGCCCCUCACAUCGGCUCCUCACAUUGGCCCCUCACAUCGGCCCCUCACAUCGGCCCCUCACAUCGGCUCCUCACAUCGGCCCCUCACAUCGGCCCCUCACAUCGGCCCCUCACAUCGGCCCCUUUCAUUGGCCCCUCACAUCAGCCCCUUCACAUUGGCCCCUCACAUCGGCUCCUC